rnacentral:tRNA from 1 species
GUCUAAUUAGUUUAAUCCUAAAACAUUAAUUUUGUAAGUUAAAAAAAUUCAUAAGAAUAUUAGACU